AUUGAACGCUGGCGGCAGGCCUAACACAUGCAAGUCGAGCGCCCCGCAAGGGGAGCGGCAGACGGGAGAGUAACACGUGGGAACGUACCCUUUGGUUCGGAACAACCCAGGGAAACUUGGGCUAAUACCGGAUAAGCCCGUACGGGGAAAGAUUCAUCGCCGAAGGAUCGGCCCGCGUCUGAUUAGCUAGUUGGUGGGGUAACGGCCCACCAAGGCGACGUGUAGGGGGUCGGAGAGGAUUAUCCCCCCGAGGGGGACUGAGACACGGCCCACACACCUACGGGUGGCAGCAGUUGGGAAUCUUGCACAAUGGGGGAAACCCUGAUGCAGCGACGCCGCGUGGAGGACGAAGGAUCUAGGUCUGUAAACUCCUUUUUCACGGAAAGACUUAGGACGGUACCGUGAGAAUAAGCCCCGGCUAACUACGUGCCAGCCGCCGCAGUAA
rnacentral:rRNA from 1 species